AAUCUCAGUUCGGAUUGUAGGCUGCAACUCGCCUACAUGAAGUUGGAAUCGCUAGUAAUCGCGAAUCAGAAUGUCGCGGUGAAUACGUUCCCGGGUCUUGUACACACCGCCCGUCACACCACGAGAGUUUACAACACCCGAAGUCAGUGGCCUAACCGUAAGGAGGGAGCUGCCUAAGGUGGGGUAGAUGAUUGGGGUGAAGUCGUAACAAGGUACC
rnacentral:rRNA from 1 species